rnacentral:rRNA from 1 species
GACGAACGCUGGCGGCGUGCUUAACACAUGCAAGUCGAACGGAGAUGUUAGCAAUAACAUCUUAGUGGCGGACGGGUGAGUAACGCGUGGGCAACUUGCCUCGGACUGGGGGAUAACGCAGGGAAACUUGUGCUAAUACCGCAUAACAUCACGGGAGGACAUCCUUCUGUGAUCAAAGGAGUAAUCCGGUUUGAGAUGGGCCCGCGUCCGAUUAGCUAGUUGGUAGUGUAAUGGACUACCAAGGCGACGAUCGGUAGCCGAACUGAGAGGUUGAUCGGCCACAUUGGGACUGAGACAGGGCCCAGACUCCUACGGGAGGCAGCAGUGGGGAAUAUUGCACAAUGGGGGAAACCCUGAUGCAGCAACGCCGCGUGAAGGAUGAAGGUUUUCGGAUUGUAAACUUCAUUGAUGAGGGACGAAUAAUGACGGUACCUCAAAAACAAGCCACGGCUAACUACGUGCCAGCCGCCGCCGUAACAC